GGACCCAUAGCUCAGCUGGAUAGAGCGCUGCCCUCCGAAGGCAGAGGCCAGAGGUUCGAAUCCUCUUGGGUCCG
rfam:Roseovarius mucosus DSM 17069 Contig289, whole genome shotgun sequence.